rnacentral:lncRNA from 1 species
ACGAGCAAGUUCAGUAUCUGGAGUCUAUUUUCGAGUCGGAUAGUAAGCUUGAGGCGAGGAAGAAGGAGGAGCUGGCGGUGGAGCUUGGGAUGCAGCCGAGACAGGUUGCUAUAUGGUUUCAGAACAAGAGAGCGAGGUGGAAGUCGAAACAGAUAGAGCACGACUACAAAGCACUCAGAGCUAGCUACGAUGCUUUAACGUCUCGGUUCGAGUCCUUGAAGGAGGAGAAACAGUCUUUACUCACACAGGUAACCUUACUGAUCCUUGGUUAAAUUGUGAAGCUUAAUUCAGUCUUGUUUUGUACUUCGAAGAGGAUGUCAGGUUGAACUCCCGUUGAGCUCAAAGGGUUUAAGGGCUCGCAGUGAUGAUUUAAGGGAGCAGCGACGCUAGAAAUUUUUUUAUUCGUUGAACUACGAGUCUGUUUCUAUUGUACUUUUAAUCCUUUUAUAAUAUAGAGUUCAUUACAAAGAGAAAAAUUAGAGUGCGACUAUAACUGGGAGGAAAGGAAAAGCCUAAUUCUUCUCUUUCAUUUGAUUUGUGAAUUCUUGUGAGUUGGUCUACUAUGUGGACUAGGGAUCACAUUGACCAUCCAACCGGGUUAAAAAUCUUGUCCUUUUUUAUUGUGUACUUCUUAAGGUCAUAAUCAUCUUCAUUGGCUUUGAAUUCAACAGUUGCAGAAGCUGGGUGAUCUGAUGGAAAAACCUGGUGAUGGGGUGGGAAGCGGUUUCGGAGGAAACAGCAGUACUGAUGGGGGAUCAGACACCGGAGAUGAUGCAAAAUUGAGCUACUUAGAAGGUGGCCUGGACCACAGAUUAGUCAAGUGCUCAGACGAUGAUAAGAGCCGAAGUGCAGGCUACUUUGGCCACCAAGAAGGGCCUGAGCUUCUCGACAAAUGUGAAAAUGCAGAUAUUUCCUUAGAAUCAACCGGAAAAUGGUUCGGUUUCGC